AACAGCUGUUGAGACCAGGGAGAUGAUCAGCCCUGUAGCCCCAUACCUGGAACUCUCACCUCUCAGUCAUGCUGUCCAGGUUCUGGAAGGUGUGUGUGUGUCUAACCUCCAGGUCUUUGUCUAUGUCCAUGCUGUCCAGGUUCUGGAAGGUGUGUGUGUGUCUAACCUCCAGGUCUUUGUCUAUGUCCAUGCUGUCCAGGUUCUGGAAGGUGUGUGUGUGUCUAACCUCCAGGUCUUUGUCUAUGUCCAUGCUGUCCAGGUUCUGGAAGGUGUGUGUGUUUAACCUCCAGGUCUUUGUCUAUGUCCAUGCUGUCCAGGUUCUGGAAGGUGUGUGUGUUUAACCUCCAGGUCUUUGUCUAUGUCCAUGCUGUCCAGGUUCUGGAAGGUGUGCGUGUGUCUAACCUCCAGGUCUUUGUCUAUGUCCAUGCUGUCCAGGUUCUGGAAGGUGUGUGUGUGUCUAACCUCCAGGUCUUUGUCUAUGUCCAUGCUGUCCAGGUUCUGGAAGGUGUGCGUGUGUCUAACCUCCAGGUCUUUGUCUAUGUCCAUGCUGUCCAGGUUCUGGAAGGUGUGUGUGUUUAACCUCCAGGUCUUUGUCUAUGUCCAUGCUGUCCAGGUUCUGGAAGGUGUGUGUGUUUAACCUCCAGGUCUUUGUCUAUGUCCAUGCUGUCCAGGUUCUGGAAGGUGUGUGUGUUUAACCUCCAGGUCUUUGUCUAUGUCCAUGCUGUCCAGGUUCUGGAAGGUGUGCGUGUGUCUAACCUCCAGGUCUUUGUCUAUGUCCAUGCUGUCCAGGUUCUGGAAGGUGUGCGUGUGUCUAACCUCCAGGUCUUUGUCUAUGUCCAUGCUGUCCAGGUUCUGGAAGGUGUGUGUGUCUAACCUCCAGGUCUUUGUCUAUGUCCAUGCUGUCCAGGUUCUGGAAGGUGUGUGUGUGUCUAACCUCCAGGUCUUUGUCUAUGUCCAUGCUGUCCAGGUUCUGGAAGGUGUGUGUGUUUAACCUCCAGGUCUUUGUCUAUGUCCAUGCUGUCCAGGUUCUGGAAGGUGUGUGUGUCUAACCUCCAGGUCUUUGUCUAUGUCCAUGCUGUCCAGGUUCUGGAAGGUGUGUGUGUGUCUAACCUCCAGGUCUUUGUCUAUGUCCAUGCUGUCCAGGUUCUGGAAGGUGUGUGUGUGUCUAACCUCCAGGUCUUUGUCUAUGUCCAUGCUGUCCAGGUUCUGGAAGGUGUGUGUGUGUCUAACCUCCAGGUCUUUGUCUAUGUCCAUGCUGUACAGGUUCUGGAAGGUGUGUGUGUGUCUAACCUCCAGGUCUUUGUCUAUGUCCAUGCUGUCCAGGUUCUGGAAGGUGUGUGUGUGUCUAACCUCCAGGUCUUUGUCUAUGUCCAUGCUGUCCAGGUUCUGGAAGGUGUGUGUGUGUCUAACCUCCAGGUCUUUGUCUAUGUCCAUGCUGUCCAGGUUCUGGAAGGUGUGUGUGUGUCUAACCUCCAGGUCUUUGUCUAUGUCCAUGCUGUCCAGGUUCUGGAAGGUGUGUGUGUAGACCUCAAGAGCCUUGGCAUGGA